AUUGAACGCUGGCGGCAUGCCUUACACAUACAAGUCGAACGGUAACAGGUCUUCGGAUGCUGACGAGUGGCGAACGGGUGAGUAAUACAUCGGAACGUGCCUAGUAGUGGGGGGUAACUACUCGAAAGAGUGGCUAAUACCGCAUGAGAUCUACGGAUGAAAGCAGGGGAUCGCAAGACCUUGUGCUACUAGAGCGGCCGAUGGCAGAUUAGGUAGUUGGUGGGAUAAAAGCUUACCAAGCCGACGAUCUGUAGCUGGUCUGAGAGGACGAUCAGCCACACUGGGACUGAGACCCGGCCCAGACUCCUACGGGAGGCAGCAGUGGGGAAUCUUGGACAAUGGGCGAAAGCCUGAUCCAGCAAUGCCGCGUGCAGGAUGAGGGCCUUCGGGUUGUAAACUGCUUUUGUACGGAACGAAAAGCCCCGGGUUAAUACCCUGGGGUGAUGACGGUACCGUAAGAAUAAGCACCGGCUAACUACGUGCCAGCCGCCGCCGUAA
rnacentral:rRNA from 1 species